rnacentral:rRNA from 1 species
AUUGAACGCUGGCGGCAUGCUUUACACAUGCAAGUCGAACGGCAGCGCGGGCUUCGGCCUGGCGGCGAGUGGCGAACGGGUGAGUAAUGCAUCGGAACGUGCCCAGUAGUUGGGGAUAGCCCGGCGAAAUCCGGAUUAAUACCGCAUACGACCUGAGGGUGAAAGCGGGGGACCGAAAGGCCUCGCGCCAUUGGAGCGGCCGAUGUCGGAUUAGCUAGUUGGUGGGGUAAAGGCUUACCAAGGCGACGAUCCGUAGCUGGUCUGAGAGGACGACCAGCCACACUGGGACUGAGACACGGCCCAGACUCCUACGGGAGGCAGCAGUGGGGAAUUUUGGACAAUGGGGGCAACCCUGAUCCAGCCAUGCCGCGUGCGGGAAGAAGGCCUUCGGGUUGUAAACCGCUUUUGUUCGGGAAGAAAUCCUCUGGGCUAAUACCCCGGGGGGAUGACGGUACCGGAAGAAUAAGCACCGGCUAACUACGUG